AUUGAACGCUGGCGGUAUGCUUAACACAUGCAAGUCGAACGAUGAGAAAGAGCUUGCUCUUUCGAUUAGUGGCGGACGGGUGCGUAACGCGUAGGAAUCUACCUAUUAGUGGGGGACAACUUAGGGAAACUUAAGCUAAUACCGCAUACGCCCUACGGGGGAAAGAAGGGGAUCGCAAGACCUUUUGCUAAUAGAUGAGCCUGCGUAGGAUUGGCUAGUUGGUGGGGUAAAAGCUCACCAAGGCGACGAUCCUUAACUGGUUUGAGAGAAUGAUCAGUCACACUGGAACUGAGACACGGUCCAGACUCCUACGGGAGGCAGCAGUGGGAAAUAUUGGACAAUGGGCGAAAGCCUGAUCCAGCAAUACCGCGUGUGUGAAGAAGGCCUUAGGGUUGUAAAGCACUCUCAAUUGGAAGGAAAACCUCGAAGCUAAUACCUUCGAGUUUGACAUUACCUUUAGAAGAAGCACCGGCUAACUCCGUGCCAGCCGCCGCCGUAA
rnacentral:rRNA from 1 species